GGGUGAUCGGCCACACUGGGACUGAGACACGGCCCAGACUCCUACGGGAGGCAGCAGUAGGGAAUCUUCGGCAAUGGGGGCAACCCUGACCGAGCAACGCCGCGUGAGUGAAGAAGGUUUUCGGAUCGUAAAGCUCUGUUGUUAGAGAAGAAUGAUGGUGGGAGUGGAAAAUCCACCAAGUGACGGUAACUAACCAGAAAGGGACGGCUAACUACGUGCCAGCAGCCGC
rnacentral:rRNA from 1 species